rnacentral:tRNA from 1 species
GCUCUCUUAGUAUAACAAGUACUGCUAACUUCCAAUUAGCAAGACCUGUAAUAAACAGGAGAGAGCAA